rnacentral:rRNA from 1 species
AUGAGAACCUUGUUUUGGAACUGUUGGGGGAUUGGCGACUCCUCGACAGUUCAUGAGCUUCGGGAGCUCAUUCAGUGUGCGCCGUCCGUGGUGUGUAUUGUGGAAACACAAAUUGCAAAACAACGGGAGGGCCUAACAUCUUUGUUGGGCUUCGAAGGAGGAUAUGUGGUUGCUAGUAGAGGGAGGAGCGGAGGAAUAGGAAUUUUCUGGAAGGAUGGCAUAAAUCUCACUGUAAAAAACUGUUCAAAGUACCAUGUUGAUGCUUGGGUGAAAGAACCAUGGAAGGAUGAAUGGAGGAUGACAUUUUUUUAUGGUGAGGGGAAUAGAAUGUUAAGGCAGAAUACUUGGGAUAUGAUGACUUUCCUGAGGGGAGAAUCAACUCUACCAUGGUCUUGCAUAGGUGAUUUUAAUGAGAUUCUCCAUCAUGAAGAGCAGUAUGGCCCGAAUGAAUGUGAUGUUGCACAGAUGGCGGGCUUCAGGGAAGCAGUGGACGUGUGCGGACUAGGUGAUCUUGGCAUGUGGGUGUCGAUUGGACGUUCGAGAAGAAGGUUGCUGGUGGUCACUACUGUCGGGUCAGGUUGGAUCGUGCGCUUGCCACGGCUGAAUGGGGUUUGA